rnacentral:rRNA from 1 species
AUGAACGCUGGCGGCGUGCCUAAUACAUGCAAGUCGAGCGAACAGACGAGGAGCUUGCUCCUCUGACGUUAGCGGCGGACGGGUGAGUAACACGUGGAUAACCUACCUAUAAGACUGGGAUAACUUCGGGAAACCGGAGCUAAUACCGGAUAAUAUAUUGAACCGCAUGGUUCAAUAGUGAAAGACGGUUUUGCUGUCACUUAUAGAUGGAUCCGCGCCGCAUUAGCUAGUUGGUAAGGUAACGGCUUACCAAGGCAACGAUGCGUAGCCGACCUGAGAGGGGGAUCGGCCACACUGGAACUGAGACACGGUCCAGAAUCCUACGGGAGGCAGCAGUAGGGAAUCUGCCGCAAUGGGCGAAAGCCUGACGGAGCAACGCCGCGUGAGUGAUGAAGGUCUUCGGAUCGUAAAACUCUGUUAUUAGGGAAGAACAAAUGUGUAAGUAACUAUGCACGUCUUGACGGUACCUAAGCAGAAAGCCACGGCUAACUACGU